GAAUAUUGGACAAUGGGGGGAACCCUGAUCCAGCCAUGCCGCGGGUGUGAAGAAGGCCUUUUGGUUGUAAAGCACUUUAAGCGAGGAGGAGGCUACUGAGAUUAAUACGCUAGGAUAGUGGACGUUAACCGCAGAAGAAGCUUCGGCUAACGCCUGGCCAGCAGCCGCGGUAAUACAGAGGGUGCAAGCUUUCAUCGGGUUUACUGGGCGUAAAGCGUGCGUAGGUGGCCAAUUAAGUCAAAUGUGAAAUCCCCGAGCUUAACUUGGGACUUGCUUUCGAUACUGGUUGGCUAGAGUAUGGGAGAGGAUGGUAGAAUUCCAGGUGUAGCGGUGAAAUGCGUAGAGAUCUGGAGGAAUACCGAUGGCGAAGGCAGCCAUCUGGCCUAAUACUGACACUGAGGUGCGAAAGCAUGGGGAGCAAACA
rnacentral:rRNA from 1 species